UACGUAGGGUGCAAGCGUUGUCCGGAAUUAUUGGGCGUAAAGAGCUCGUAGGCGGCUCGGUAAGUCGGGUGUGAAAACUCUAGGCUCAACCUAGAGACGCCACCUGAUACUGCUGUGGCUAGAGUCCGGUAGGGGAGCAUGGAAUUCCUGGUGUAGCGGUGAAAUGCGCAGAUAUCAGGAGGAACACCAGUGGCGAAGGCGGUGCUCUGGGCCGGAACUGACGCUGAGGAGCGAAAGCGUGGGGAGCAAACAGG
rnacentral:rRNA from 1 species